GAUUGGUUACGAGGUAGUCUGUGACAUCACAAACACCACCGAUUUCAAACCGUGGGUUUUUGAUUUACUGCAGUUUUAAACAUAAAAUACUCAGCAAUGGUGCUGACUUAUGAAUUUGCAUAUGGUUUGACUUAAAGCAUAUUAAAAACACUACAUAGAUAUAUAAACAACAUUAAAAACUUGAUUUUCACCACAGGAGGGCUUUAAGAUCUCUGGAGUUGGACUUGUAUCCUUGAGAUUGUCCAUGUUUUUCCACAAUUUUUUUCUUUACACUUCUUUCCUUUCUUCACUUCAUCCUCAGUGAGAGACACAACACAAAGGUUUAGUCAACUUUUCUCCACUUUAACUGGCUGCAAGUGUGAUAUAGCCACAUGUGUCUAAAUACAAAUUACAGGAGCAAUUAUUUCUUGAAAUUUUGUCAAGAUGCCAAUAAUUUUUUCCAGUCCAUUUUUUAGUUCUGUGAAAUUCUCAAGUUUGAGAAUUGGUGCUAGAACCACUGUCCCUCUGCCCUCAUCGGCUGAGGUGCCCGAGACCUUCUCGACCCCCUCCUCUCCCUUUGACAGGAUUUCCAUUAAAGUGUUCCGUUAUCACUCCGCUAAAGAUCCACUAAUUCUGUAAAUCCGCUCCGUGUUUUCCCGCUCGCUGCCCAGCAUCACUGAGAAGGGUCUGGCUGCAGACAUGCAAUCUCAGACAUGCAUGCGCAGUCCAACACAUGCAUUCUCAGACACGCAUGCGCACUCAGAUACAUGCAGUCUCAGCCGCACUUGCGCAGUCCAACACGUGUUCUCAAUCACGCAUGCGCAGUCCGACACACAUUCUCAGCAGCUCGUGGACACGCAGAAACAGACACAUGCGUUUAAUGCACAUACAGGCUACUUGUAAGUAUAUUUAUGUACAAUUUUUGUACAAUUUUUUUGUGUAAAUUAAAAGAGUUGUUCAUUAUUUGGUAAAUGUUAUCAAAAACGAUCCUGAUAUUUAUCUGGUAUAUCUCACAUGCACAGGUGUUGGCGGUAUGCACGUGUUUAGAGGAGUCGACGACCAUUAAAUAAUUGAUAUGCAUCAAUCAAUAGUUCUAGCUGGUGUAAAUCAGCUGAUAUCAAAAUGCACAUCUUGUUGCACAUUGUAUCAUUGCCCCUUGUGCCCUUCACUGAAGCCAAUGACUCAGAAGAAAGUUCAGGCUCACUGGACAGUCCAUAUUAAAAAUGCAAUCUUUUUCCAAGGUAAGAUGGGUGUGAUAAGUUUUUUUUUGUAAGCACUUCAAAAAGGGUACUAAUAAGCAAAAGAGAGACUGUUCAAGACAUAUUUCAAACAUUCUUGCACACACUAUCAAACUCUCUCUUGACCGUUAGUGUAAUGUCUCUCACACUCUAUCAAAGAUUUUCAUGCAUGCUAUCAAACUCUCAUUCAUUACUAUACUAUUUCUCAUACACUAUCAAAGCUUUCACCCAAACUCAUUCACAAACAUACUAUCAUCUCUCUCACUAUCAAGCUCAUUGUCUGUGUAUCAUCCUUUUCUUUUCUUUUUUUUAACAUUCAAGAUGUUUAUUUAUCUUCUGCCCCUGAACAAAAAACAAGACAAAAAAAAAUUAAGGUAGCGUGUAUGAGAGUACAAUUUGAAAAAAUUUCUUGAACAUCCUCUCAAUAAUUUCUAGACAAAAGAGUAUGCAAAUGCCAUUUGGCCUGCAGAACAGAGGCCCAUUAUCAUUGCCCUACUUGCAGUAAAACUGUUCUUAGAAGAAACGCAAUGAAGGCUCACCUGCAUCGGCUCCUUGUAUAUCGACACCUACACCUUCACUGGCUCUGUGCUGCUCCUCACCUGCGCCAGGACCUGCAUCGGCUCCUUGUAUAUUGUUAUUGAUAGCCACGCCCUGUCUCAUUAGAAUAAUGCAACUUUGAGACUGAAAGUACAUUUCCUGUCUGCAAGAGUAACAGAUUAAAAAAAAGACACAACUACAGAAAUUAAUUUGAAAAUGUUUAUUGAAAUAUAUAAGAGACAAAAUAGUAACAAAUAGACAGAUUGGUAUUUGUUUGUACAAGAAUGGUAUAUUUGUGCGAAAAUAAUAUUUGUUUGUAAGAGAAUGGUAUAUUUGUACGAGAUUAAUAUUUGUUUGUACGAGAAUGAUAUAUUUGUGCGAAAAUAAUAUUUGUUUGUACGAGAAUGGUAUAUUUGUACGAGAUUAAUAUUUGUUUGUACGAGAAUGGUAUUUUUGUACGAGAUUGAUAUUUAUGUAAACAGAGAUGAUCAGGUGAUCAGGUAAACAAAAGAUGUGAUCACAUCAAAACAAUGUAGAAGAGAAAAGAGUCCAAUAGCAUACAUAUAUUAACCAUUAAAGAAUGAACAGACAA